GACGAAGGUGGCGAGCGUUGUUCGGAAUCACUGGGCAUAAAGCGCACGUAGGCGGUGUCGUAAGUCGGGUGUGAAAUCCCUCGGCCUAACCGAGGAACUGCGCCCGAUACUGCGAUGCUUGAGGACCAGAGGGGUGCAUGGAAUUUCCGGUGGAGCGGUGAAAUGCGUUGAUAUCGGAAGGAACUCCGGCGGCGAAAGCGAUGCACUGGCUGGUUUCUGACACUGAGGUGCGAAAGCCAGGGGAGCAAACGGG
rnacentral:rRNA from 1 species